UGGGGAAUAUUGGACAAUGGGCGCAAGCCUGAUCCAGCAAUGCCGCGUGUGUGAAGAAGGCCUGCGGGUUGUAAAGCACUUUCAGUAGAGAAGAAAAGCUCGAGGUUAAUACCCUCGGGUCUUGACGUAACCUACAGAAGAAGCACCGGCUAACUCCGUGCCAGCAGCCGCGGUAAUACGGAGGGUGCGAGCGUUAAUCGGAAUUACUGGGCGUAAAGCGCGUGUAGGCGGUUCGUUAAGUCGACUGUGAAAGCCCAUGGCUCAACCAUGGAAGUGCAGUCGAUACUGGCAGACUGGAGUCCCGGAGAGGGUGGUAGAAUUCCCAGUGUAGAGGUGAAAUUCGUAGAUAUUGGGAGGAAUACCGGUGGCGAAGGCGACCACCUGGACGGGUACUGACGCUGAGACGCGAAAGCGUGGGGAGCAAACAGGAUUAGAUACCCCUGUAGUCC
rnacentral:rRNA from 1 species